rnacentral:lncRNA from 1 species
GCCGAUGCGGAGUGCUUCCCCUUGCUUCCAAAGUAUGCGCCGAUGCAGAGUGCCUCGCCUUGCUCCCAAAGUAUGCGCCGACGCCGAUGCAGAGUGCUUCGCCUUGCUUCCAAAGUAUGCGCCGAUGCGGAGUGCUUCGCCUUGCUUCCAAAGUAUGCGCCGAUGCGGAGUGCUUCCCCUUGCUUCCAAAGUAUACAUCGAUAUAGAGGGCUUCGCCUUGCUUCCAAAGUAUGUGUCAAGCUUUGAGCUUUAUGACGCCUAGGAAUGGAGUAUAAGCACGCGCUCACCAAAAGUAACAAUUCCAUUGGAACUAGACUCGAGCAAUCCUAGGUCCGAGCGCACCCAAGACCUAUUAAAGAAUUGAGUCAUCUAGUCCACAUAGAAGCACGCCAAGAGAAGAUGUAACAAGCAAUCUUUAAUGGUCAAACUCGCAAUGGCCCAGAUCCGAGCGCACCCAGAAUCUGAAUAAAAGCCAAUUGAGAGCCACCUAAAGGUGCAAGGUAAGCAUCAUCCAAUCCAUAUUGAGAAGCUCCGAUGAGUAGAUGAAGAAAUCCCUCAAUUUGUAUCAGCAAAAUUCUUCGGUUGAAUGCACUCCAUCAGUUUGUAUCAGCAAAAUUCCUCAGUUGAAUGCGCUCGAUCAAUAGUUGAAGUUGGGGCAACAUAAAACUCCUAUAUGAAAAAAAACUCCACGUCUUCUCAAUGGAUGCGUGUAAAAUCUCCAAUUCCUACAAAAAAACAAAAAAACCAAAGGAGAAGCAAGGAAAGAUUGAUGAACAUUAUGUAUAUAUAUAUGUAACUUCAUUCAUCAAGAGCACAUACAUAUAUAUAUAUAUAUAUAUAUAUAUAUAUAUAGUAUAUAUACAAAUACAGGUGGGUAUGUCACAUACAAAGCACCUAAAGGCAACGAUGAUGGACAAAGUUACACAAAAAAAGAAGAGGAAAAAGUCGCAGCAUAAUCUUGAUGAGUAUAGCUAUCCCACAGGAGACCAAUGCCGCACAGGAUAAUUUUGAGAAUAUGGAGAAACAGAUGAUUGACCAUAAUCGUGUUGUUGCUGCUGUCAUACAUCUGCAUAAUUUGAUUGAUGAGCCGUUAAAGAUUGCCUCCAACUCAACCUCCAUCUGCUGCACAGCCUUCCCCACGGCAACAAUUGCUGAAGCAGAGGUACCAACUCCGCUCCCUCCACCACCAUGGUCUAAUCGACCAGCCCAUGUCAGGGGACGGCUGUAUCAACCAAGAGAAGCUAUGCCAAAGGAUAUGCUAAACCUUCCACCUCCUCCUCCGGUCGUCACAGCUAAGCCUCCACCUCGCUUGCGACGCCAACGUCGACUCCUUUCAAGACUCCUGCUCCGGCAUCCACUAAGAGUGUCUGCUCGAAGUCACCGUCGGCCCUCAAUCUUCCGCGCCGCUGAAAUCCUGGAAUCCGUUCACCAGACGGUUGGUCUUUAUCAGCUCGAAUACACAGAAGCGCUGCUCAAUUUGACACCAUCAUCGAAGCUGUCAAAUGCUGGUUAGCUCCCUAAAUCCUAUGUUCCCAGGCCUCUGUUGAGUCGUCUCUCGAUGGAAAGCUUCGGUGUAGAGCGGGUAUGGCGGCAGAUUGACAGAUUACUUCACUGCCUUCAUGAGUUUGCCAUCACGACGUUCAGUUGAGUACGCGGAGAAGAUGGAAUUGUUCAAGUCGUCACCGCCGGUGCACCGCUGCCGAAACCAUGAAGAAUGAGAUACUGGCAGCCUCCUUGCGGCCCCAUUCUUUUCUGCUCUCUCUGCUGCAACAACCAAGGUGCAAACAAAAUGUUGUUAGGGCUGUCACAAAGUAAUAUUUCUUGUGUUUUCUUAUAUGAAACUGUAAAAGUAAAUGAUGAAAUUCACAAGAAGAAAGAGAGUAUGGCUGCUAAACAAGAGAAGAAAGAAAUUGAAGGCGAACUAAGGGCAGGGAGCAAAUUCUUUCCAAGGAAAAAACACUCAGCUCCAGCUGGCAGACCCUGCAAGCCUAAUCAAAGGAAAAAUCGAAGAAAGCAGGUAAAAAAAAGGAAAAUCUUCUCUCAGACAAAUUGUCGAACAGAUUGUGUACAGAAUCUAAAAAAACCAAAGUCUUACAGCCAUGAAAGAAGAGCUCACCAACAAAUCCUCUCAAAUACCACCAACAAACGAAAAUCAAAGGGAGGAAUGCUGCUUUGCUUCAAUUCGUGUAAAACUCGUCUGCUAUGACCCUCUUUAUAUAGUUGAAGCAUGUAUGUGAGAUUUGGCAAAUUUCCAAAACAGCUGCUUGGAGAGGUGGCAUAAAAUUCUGUUGCCAUAUAGAUGAUUAUCAAGAUGGAAAUUUUCCUUGUCUAAUUGCUUGGAGGGAAAGACACGAAUUUCUUGACUCUAGCCACAAUGUAAGAAGAAA